CCCUUCCUUUAUUACAUAAUUACAUUUAAGUCCCUCGAGUAUUUAUACGAGGUCUAAAUACGAGGCCCUAAAUAUGGUAUAAACAAAUCCUAAUUUUUUUCUCUUUGCAAGACAAAAAACUACCAGGGAAGGAAGAGACUGUUAGGAAAGUAAAACCCAGACCGAAGAAGACAAGCAAUGGUGGAAGAACCAAGGCUGUAGAUCUUUGAUAAAAGCACUAACAAUAUCAUCGCUCUUUCCAUUCCUUUAUUUUUUGAUGAGGGAUUUGCAUAUUGCUAAAAGAGAGGAAGACAUUGGCUACUGUGCUGGAUAUGUAGAUGCAUAAAUUCACCUGGAAAUUAUUCAUGACAAUGUCCCAAAGGAUACAAACAUGAAGGCAUGGAUGAAAAGAGUUGUAUAAAAGACAACAAAUGGUCAAAGGCCAUUCUCCUCAUUAUUUCAUUAGAUCAAAGAAGGAAGUUCAAUUCAUCAAGGAUCAAGGUUUGGACUACUAGACAGCAUGCUGACUUCGGUUAGAGUCGUGCAGAAGACAUCUCCAUUAACCGGUAACAGAUGAAAUUGUUUGCUGUCGAGGUUCCCGUGCAAAAGAGCGAAAAUGCUGCAAGUGGAGGAUAGAUAAUAGCUCAAGACACAUGGUAUGAGGGUGUAGAUAAACUGUAAAUAUGCAUCUGAAAAAGUUAAAAGUUAAGGCGGGGUUGGUUGUAGCUUCUCCUUCUCGCCACAAUAGAAAAUACUUUUGAACUGCAUUAAGCUAUUAAUAAAUUAAGCUUAAGCUAUAUUUUACUUA